CCUCCCGCCUGCUCUCCUCUCUUCCACUCCCCCUCCCAUGAAACCCUAGCCGUCGCGCCCGCACACCCCCUGCCGCCGUGCCACCACCGCCGUCGCUGGUGCUCGCCCCGGCCCCCAUCCUCCACCUGACGCCGCCCAUCGUCUCCUCCCCACCCCCUCACGCCUCCCUUCUCCUCCUCCCCAUCGGGACUGAGCAGGGUAGCUGACCGCCGCUGCUCUCCCCACGGAGCUCGCCGCCGCCGCUCUCCUCGCCGAGCUCGCCGCACUCUUAGCGCUGCCGGAGAUGGACACAUCUGGGCGGAUCCGGUCGCUAGGCGGCGUGGGGCUGCGGAUCCGGCAAAGUCACUGCGGCCGCCGGUGGUUCCUCCGUCCUUCCCAAGCCCGGCGAUGAUGGAGGCGCGCGGCCAUCCCUCCCCCUGCGGUGGUGGAGGAAGGAGCGGGCCUCCACAGUUGUCGGCGACCUCCUCCCCAACCAUCGACCCCUCUUUCUGAGACGGCUCGGAUCCUUGGUGUGAAGGCGGAGGCCAGUGUGUGCGCGUGUGUGCAGCAGCUCCAGAGGGACAACAUUGAUGUAGCCACUGCUCCUGUCUAGGCUAGCCUGCCAUAGGUACCCGAAGGAGAUACUAGAUUCUUACAAGAGGCUGCUGCUCGAUGCAAUGGAAGGAAAGCGGACGCUCUUCAUCUGGUCGGACAAGCUGAAUGCCGUGUGGGAGCUCUUUACACCCCUCCUGAAGGAGCUAGAGCAGAAGCGGAUGGCCCCCAAGAUGUACCUGUAUGGGAGCCGCGGGCCCGUGGGCACCCACUACUUGGCAGCGAAGUACAAUGUGAGAUGGGGCGAAGAGAGCGUGGUUUUCAUGCGAGUGGUGAUGAUUUCUGUUUUUAGCGGUGAUUGAUUCUGGCGCGGUCGCAGUUUCUGCAAAAGGCAUGCACUGCACGCCCUGCUAGUGGGAGUGACACGAGGAACAUAUCGGAAUUAAUAAGGGUGAGCGGUUGGCGAUGCUUGUGUUGGUCGAUCGAUCGUGAAUAUAUUUGUUGGUACCACUGGCUUUGCAUAUUCUAUGAUUCUUAAAAGGUGAAGUUGAGAGCACAAGGCUCAUCAUCUUUGGCUGUUGAUCGAUUCAUUUGGUGGUCUGGCUGGGCUGUUUGUUGUAUGGGAACUACUGGUUGUGCAACUGCAGAAGCUGCUUACUGAUGCUGG